AUGGCCAGGCUGCUGGACGCCAGGCACACAGGUCCCUCGGUGGCACUGCCCGCUUCCCCGCAGGGUCCAUCGGUCUUCCCCCUGGGGCCCUGCUGCCGGGACAGCGCCCCCGACUCCUCCGUGGUGCUGGCCUGCCUGGUCACCGACUACUUUCCGGAUCUGGUGAACAUCACCUGGGACACCGGGUCGCUGGCCAGGAACGCCUCCACGACCUUUCCUGCCAUCCAGCAGAAGGCCUCCGGCCUCUACACCACCGCCAGCCAGGUGACCGUGUCCGGCGAGUGGGCCACGCAGCCGGUCACCUGCACUGUGGCGGGGGGCGGGCUGGGGCUCACCCGGCCCUCCUGCGCCCCAGCCUGCUCCAGGAACUUCACCAGCCCCAGCGUGAGGCUCUUCCACUCCUCCUGCGACCCCAGCGGCGACACCAGCACCCCCAUCCAGCUCCGGUGCUUCGUCUCCGGCUACCCCGGCACACACAUCAGGGUCACCUGGCUGGUGGACGGGCAUGAGCACGAAGACUUGAACACCUACACGGCCCCCGCGCAGCAGGAGGGCGAGCUGGCGUCCACCUACAGCGAGCUCAACACCACGCAGGGCCUCUGGGCAGCCCAGAGCACCUACACCUGCCAGGUCUCCUACCAAGGCUACACCUUUAAGGACGAAGCCCGCAAGUGCACAGAGUCCGAGCCCCGCGGCGUGAGCGCCUACGUGAUCCCACCCAGCCCCCUGGACCUGUAUGUCCACAAGUCACCCAAGAUCACCUGCCUGGUGGUGGACCUGGCCGGGGUCGACGGCAUGACCCUGACCUGGUCCCGGGAGAGCAAAACCCCCGUGCGCCAAGACCCGCCGGUCACCAAGAAACACUUCAACGGGACGUUCAGCGUCACGUCCACCCUGGAGGUGGACAUCAAUGACUGGACAGAGGAAGAGACCUACCGCUGCACAGUGGGCCACCCAGACCUGCCCAGGGAGAUCGUGCGCUCCAUCACCAGGCCCCCAGGCAAGCGCUCCAAACCGGAGGUCUACGUGCUCCAGCCGCCAGACGAGACCCAGGGCACCGGGGACAAGGUGACCCUCACCUGCCUGGUCCAGAACUUCUUCCCCGCGGACAUCUCCGUGCAGUGGCUGCAGAACGACAGCCCCGUCCCGAGGGAGGAGCAGGCCACCACGGGGCCCCGCAGGACCGGCGGCCCCGACCCCGCCUUCUUCGUCUUCAGCCGCCUGGAGGCCAGCCGGGCCGCCUGGGAGAAGGAGGACAGGUUCACCUGCCGCGUGGUGCACGAGGCCCUGCCCACGACCAGGAUCCUGGAGAAAUCGCUGUCCAAGCCCCCCGAGCUGGACCUCGCCGAGCUGUGCGUGCAGGAGCCUGAGGGCCAGGAGCUGGACGGCGCCUGGGCCGGCCUCCGGGUAUUCGCGGUGCUCUUCCUGCUCAGCGUGGCCUACGGCGCGGCCGUCACGGUGCUCAAGGUAAGCUGGGUCUUGGCGGCCGAGCAGCAGGACGGGCCUCCCGGCCCCCACGACUACACCAACGUGCGGCCCGUGGCCACCCGCACCCCGCAACACCCCCGCUGCCUGCUCUGUCCCUGCGCCUGA